GCAUCCCAGGCAGGAGCAGAGCGUUUCCUCAUGCACUUAUGAAAUGUGUGUUCUUCAGAGGCGGCCUUUUCAUGGGCAGCUGUGGUUCUACCAAGGGAAUUACCUGCGAGCAGUGGGAGUGGUGGUGGCUCCAGGCUCAGCUGCAAGACAGGAAGCCAAGGUGAUAAUCAAUCAAUGCUUGUUUGCCAGGAGUUUCAAGAGUGUUCCUUAGGGAUGCUGUUGUCAGAUGAGGAUGGAGGCUGCCUUCAGCAUGACAUUGUCCACUGCUAGCACCAGAGGAAGGAGCUUGUACGGGGAAUAGCCUGGCAUUCUGGCACUGGUUCUACUCUCUGUUCAGGGUGUGUAUGUUGGUCUCAUUCAAAGGGGUGUACCUGAAGAGUUGCUGCUCUUGUUUCUCUUUGAGAAAUGACUGGUUAGUGACAGCAUCUCCCUGGGACUACGGUUGGGCAGUAUUAGGCCUGAAUGCACUUGGGACCUUCGCUACAAUCAAGAAGGUUCUAAGACUAAAGAUUGAGCACCAGUGGGAAGGCUGUGUGCUGAAGGGAGUACAUUCCUGGUU